ensembl:rRNA 5S_rRNA 5S ribosomal RNA
CACCUCAGUCAUAUCACCCUGCAACUCACAACUGGCAACCCACUGAAGCUAAGCAGGUGUGAGCCUGGUCAUUACCUGGAUGGGAGACCUCCUGGGAAAAACUAAGGUUGCUGCUGGAA